rnacentral:rRNA from 1 species
AGUGAACGCUGGCGGUAGGCCUAACACAUGCAAGUCGAACGGCAGCACAGUAAGAGCUUGCUCUUACGGGUGGCGAGUGGCGGACGGGUGAGGAAUACAUCGGAAUCUACUUUUUCGUGGGGGAUAACGUAGGGAAACUUACGCUAAUACCGCAUACGACCUACGGGUGAAAGCAGGGGAUCUUCGGACCUUGCGCGAUUGAAUGAGCCGAUGUCGGAUUAGCUAGUUGGCGGGGUAAAGGCCCACCAAGGCGACGAUCCGUAGCUGGUCUGAGAGGAUGAUCAGCCACACUGGAACUGAGACACGGUCCAGACUCCUACGGGAGGCAGCAGUGGGGAAUACUGGACAAUGGGCGCAAGCCUGAUCCAGCCAUACCGCGUGGGUGAAGAAGGCCUUCGGGUUGUAAAGCCCUUUUGUUGGGAAAGAAAAGCAGCAGGUUAAUACCCCGCUAUUCUGACGGUACCCAAAGAAUAAGCACCGGCUAACUUCGUG